GAUGAACGCUAGCUACAGGCUUAACACAUGCAAGUCGAGGGGCAGCAUGACGAUAGCUUGCUAUUGUUGAUGGCGACCGGCGCACGGGUGAGUAACGCGUAUCCAACCUGCCCUUGUCCACCGGAUAACCCGUCGAAAGGCGGACUAACACGGUAUGCAGUCCACAGCAGACAUCUAACGUGGACGAAAUGUGAAGGAGAAGGAUGGGGAUGCGUCUGAUUAGCUUGUUGGCGGGGUAACGGCCCACCAAGGCGACGAUCAGUAGGGGUUCUGAUGAGAAGGUCACCCACAUUGGAACUGAGACACGGUCCAACCUCCAACGGGAGGCAGCAGUGAGGAAUAUUGGUCAAUGAGCGAGAGCCUGAACCAGCAAAGUAGCGUGCAGGAAGACGGCCCUAUGGGUUGUAAACUGCUUUUAUACGGGGAUAAAGUGAGUCACGUGUGGCUUAUUGCAGGUACCGUAUGAAUAAGGACCGGCUAAUUCCGUGCCAGCCGCCGCCGUAAAAC
rnacentral:rRNA from 1 species